AGAUGUUUGCUGUUAUUCAGACUAAACAGAACCGUCUGUGUUCAUGUCAAAGUCCAUCAGCUGUUCAUGAAGAAGCAGAUCCUCCAACACUCUGAUGUUUCUGUGUUUGCAGAGGUCAACAGGUCACACAGAGAGUCCAGUCUGCAGCAUCCAGCUGUGGAUCCAUGAAGAGUGACCGGUCCAAAGAUGGUCCUCCAGACUUCAGAACUGAACCAGGACCUUCAGACUCGCAUGUCCUUGGAGAGAAGAAGAGGAGCGGACCCCAGUCUGCAGAAAGACCCAGAGCUGCAGAUGUUGGUCUCCAGUAGAUUUUUGGAGAACAUCAGAUCAGUCUGAGGAGCAGAAGUGAACAUGUGUCUGAAGGAACUGAAGAAGCAGGAAGAGAAACGCUCCUCAACGAGGUCUACACUGAGCUCUACAUCAAAGAGGAACUGAGACGAGAGACUUACACACAACAUGAGGUGAUGCAGCUGGAGACAACCACCAAGACAAACAAGCUCCAUGGCACUGCAAUCAAGAACCCAGACAU